rnacentral:rRNA from 1 species
GGAUCAGCCCACGGCCUAUCAGCUAGUUGGUGAGGUAGUGGCUCACCAAGGCUUUGACGGGUAGCUGGUCUGAGAGGACGACCAGUCACACCGGAACUGAGACACGGUCCAGACACCUACGGGUGGCAGCAGUCGAGAAUUUUUCUCAAUGGGGGAAACCCUGAAGGAGCGACGCCGCGUGGAGGAUGAAGGUCUUCGGGUUGUAAACUCCUGUCAUUUGGGAACAAGUCGUACGUAGUAACUAUACGUGCGUUGAUAGUACCAGAAGAGGAAGGGACGGCUAACUCUGUGCCAGCAGCCGCGGUAAUACAGAGGUCCCAAGCGUUGUUCGGAUUCAUUGGGCGUAAAGGGUGUGUAGGUGGCGCCGUAAGUCGGGUGUGAAAUUUCGGAGCUUAACUCCGAAACUGCAUUCGGUACUGCGGUGCUUGAGGACUGGAGAGGAGACUGGAAUUCAUGGUGUAGCAGUGAAAUGCGUAGAGGUCAUGAGGAAGACCAGUGGCGAAGGCGGGUCUCUGGGCAGUUCCUGACACUGA